UCAUCAAUAUCAUUAUUAUAUCAUCAUCAUAAUCGCCACUCGCCAUCAGAGACAGAUAUAUCUCUCAGCUCUCAUUUUCUCUCUCUGUUGAUUUUCAGCUUUUCUAGAACAUACCCACAUUUCCCAUCUCUUCUCCUUCGUUUAUAUACAUAUAUAUAAAAUUAUAAAACCCAUCAUAUAAGUUACUCUUCAAUCCCUUUCCUCUUUGUUUGUUUCAUCAAAGAUUUGACCCUUUUCGUUUUUGAUCCAUGAUCAUUCCCUAAUUUGGGAUUUAAAUGCAAUUUAGGGUUCCCAAAAUUGAGUCUUUUUAUUUUGUAGCUGAAGCUGAAGAAGAAUUGUGUAAUUUCAAUCUAAGUCAAAGGGGGUCUUUUCAUUUUGUGGGUAUUAAGAAAAAAAAAAUAUGCUAGCUUUGAAGCAACUCAAGUGUGUGGUGAUGCUUGAUGCUUUGAGUUGUGUAUGUACUGCUAUAUAAUUGGAUUUGGUUUUUGGUUCUUUCUUGGAUUUGAAUGCUGGAAUAGUUGGUUCCCGAGCCAGGGGCUCGGGUUUUGAUUGUAUCAUAUUUUGGGAUAUCAGUACAAAAUUUUACCAAUGGCAACUUGUGAUAUGGAAUCUCAACAUCACCAGGAGCAAGACCAGUUUUCACCAAUUCGACAAGGGUUUAUGCAGAAAUUCAGGCUCUAUCAAACUCUAUCGAAAUUUUACAUGAUAGGAAGGGACAAAAGUAGAACACACUGGAGAGUGUUGAAAAUUGAUAGGAUGGAGCCUUCUGAGCUUAACAUACGUGAAGAUUCCACUACCUAUACUGAACGUGAGUGCUCUGACUUGUUGAGAAGGAUACACGAGGGUAACAGGUCUACAGGAGGUCUGAAAUUUGUCACUACCUGUUACGGCAUUGUUGGGUUCAUCAAAUUUCUGGGGCCUUAUUACAUGCUUCUUAUCACAAAAAGGAGGGAGAUUGGCGCUAUUUGUGGUCACUCUGUGUAUGCUGUCACUAAGAGUGAAAUGAUCCCGCUUCCAAAUGCCGCAACAAGAUCAAAGAUGGUUAAUUAUAGGAGUGAAAACAGGUACAAGAAACUCCUUUGCAUGGUGGACCUCACGAAGGACUUCUUCUUCAGUUACUCAUACCAUAUUAUGAGGAGUCUACAGAAGAACAUGUGCAAUAAUGAGACUGGACCCGACAUUUAUGAGACCAUGUUUGUCUGGAAUGAAUAUCUGACACGUACAGCACGAAAUCUCCUUCACAACACUACUUGGACAGUGGCAUUGGUUUAUGGAUUCUUCAAGCAGGAUACUUUGUCUCUCUCUGGGCGGGACUUCAAGUUGACUCUAAUAGCAAGACGUUCACGUCAUUAUGCUGGUACCAGAUAUCUGAAACGAGGCGUAAAUGAAAAGGGUAGAGUUGCAAAUGAUGUUGAGACUGAGCAGAUUCUAUUUGAGGAUGUUCCAGAAGAUUUCCCAGUGCAUAUUAGUUCUGCUGUUCAAAAUCGUGGGUCUAUCCCACUCUUUUGGUCUCAGGAAACUUCACGACUAAAUAUCAAGCCCGAUAUUAUAUUGUCAAAGAGGGACCAGACAUAUGAAGCUACGAGACUUCAUUUCGAGAAUCUUGCUACGAGAUAUGGGAACCCCAUCAUUAUUUUGGAUCUGAUUAAGACCCAAGAAAAAAAGCCUCGGGAGUCUAUCCUUCGCACCGAAUUUGCUAAUGCAAUUGAAUACAUCAAUAAAGAUCUGUCUGAGGAGAAUCGACUUAGAUUUCUCCACUGGGAUUUGAACAAGCAUUCACGAAGCAAAGCUACAAAUGUCUUGUUUUCUCUGGGAAAAGUGGCUACAUAUGCAUUGAAUUUGACUGGUUUCUUCUAUUGUCAAGUAACACCAGCCUUAAGAUCUGAGGGAUGUCUGAAAUGGCCCAUAUUUGAGAAUGCUGCUGCUAGUAAUAUGGUUCCUUUGAAACAUUUUGACCCUGAUGUUGAGAAACAAUAUAAUAAUGACGUCGGUGAUUCAGAUACGCUAGAGGGAAAAGGUUAAAAGUUGGUAGUAGUNCCAAAGGGGGGUGCUAAGGACAAAUUGCAUAGAUUGUCUGGAUCGUACUAAUGUGGCACAAUAUGCAUAUGGAUUGGCUGCUUUGGGUCAUCAACUCCAUGUUUUAGGAGUUACAAAUUCAACAAAGAUAGACCUUGAUGAUCCUUUGGCAGAAGAAUUAAUGGGGUUCUAUGAGAGGAUGGGUGAUACACUUGCUCAUCAAUAUGGUGGCUCUGCAGCUCACAACAAGAUAUUUUCAGCGAAGAGGGGCCAGUGGAAAGCUGCUAUUCAAUCGCAGGAGUUCUUUAGAACUCUUCAGAGAUAUUACAGCAAUGCCUACAUGGAUACAGAAAAACAAAAUGCUAUUAAUGUGUUUUUGGGACACUUUCAGCCCCAAGAGGGUGGACGUGAUAUAUGGGAACUGGACUCCGAUCAGCAUUACUUUGUGGGUAGGAAUGGCGAAAGCUAUGCUGGUGACAAUGGAAGGUCGCUCUUCCAAAGAUCAUUCUCAGAUGGAAAUAUUCUGCAUGAAAGUCAAUUUCCCAUUUCAACUCGCAGUAUUGGAAAGGGUCUCUCUAAGUCUAACCUGUCUAAUCAGUCCAAAGAAGGGAGCAAAGUGCUCUCUGAAUCAACACCAGAAAUAUCAACUUGUGGAAGUGAUUUGACAUAUUCAAGGUAUGCUCAAACAGUUCCUGCAAGGGAACUUUUUGUAGAAAUGCAAAGAGAUCGAUCCCUGGAACACCAAAAUGCAGAUGCAUAUGACUGCUCCAACUUUGUUGACUUAGAUUGGUUGUCUUCUUCUGGGAAUUCCUGUGAGGAAGAGUUAUUGGACAGGUCUUUGUUCACAAACUCGCCAAUAGGUGGACUAUCAUCAGAGAAUGUUGUCAGUGACAUAGUAGGGGAAACAACAACUCCAUUCUCCAGUGAAGGUGGAUGUAGCACGAAUGUUGGUAUUUCAGUUACUUCACAAGGAACCGAAAAUGCUGGAGCAGAGGCAUAUGGUGAUGCCCAAAGCUUUGUAGUUGUCGAGGAACUUUCAGAUAGCUUUGUACGUUGGGUAAACUAUGGAGAGACACUGUGUCAUUGAUGCCUCCGAACAUUGUAAUUCAUGCCUUCCUGCGAGUCGUGUUAGUAAACGUGCCGACACCUUCAACUCAUUCUAGCACUGGCAUGCCUCAUGUUUGGAGAAGUGUUGCGUGGGCAGUAUAGGAGGAAACACACCACAUCUGUUGUAUCAGCAUUCUUUUUACAAUAUUUCCUGACUAAGCAACCAUCUAGGCUUGCAUUUAUUUGAUUGUUGAGAUCAUCGGUCUAGUUGGAUACCACUAGUACAUAGCCAACAGUUAUAAAAUUCUUUCUGGAACUCUUUUCACGGAAUGUAGGUUCCAUUGUUGUAAAUAGAGAGGUUUGACUUGCUAAAGCUCCAUUCGACAAUUGUAGACCAAUUUUUCAGUGCAAACACAUACUUCCAUAUAUUGGAAGUGACAUCUAAUCGUGAAAUAAGCUCUUGAAGAAACAAAAUUGCUACUUGUAUCGUCCAUAUGGAUUUCUAGCAGCAGCCUGGUCAUCUUAAAGUUGUUAACUGUUUGUUUGA